rnacentral:rRNA from 1 species
GAGACCCACGCCAACAGUUGCCAGCAUGUCCUCCGGGAUGGUGGGGACACUGUUGGGACCGCCUCUGCUAAAGAGGAGGAAGGAAUGGGCAACGGUAGGUCAGCAUGCCCCGAAUUAUCCGGGCUACACGCGGGCUACAAUGGUCAGGACAAUGGGUAUCGACACCGAGAGGUGAAGGCAAUCUCUUAAACCUGUCCUUAGUCCGGAUUGUGGGCUGCAACUCGCCCACAUGAAGCUGGAAUCCGUAGUAAUCGCGUCUCAAAAUGGCGCGGUGAAUAU